GAUUAUUAAUAUCUGAUUUAAACAAGGUUUCAAAAUGAGUCAUUCAUGACAAUGAACUAAAUUCAGGUUCUCGUAUUUUCCCUAAAAUUAAUCAAGCAAACAACCUUGAGAAUUAUUAAAAAUAAAGACAUGCAAAAAUGCUAUCAGAAGAGUAGCAGACUGGUGUUUAAUAAAAUAAUUUUGUUUUUCAGGAAAACAUGGAACAAAUGACUUUUUGAAUAAAUGCUGCAAUAAUUGCAUGCAGAAAUCUUAAUGUCUUUGCUGAAAGACGAAAAAGAACUACUUCAAAUACAAAGCAAUUUAUAGUUCAGUUAUGAGAAUGCAUUGGAAAGUAAAAUUAUAGCUGCUUGAGGCUUAUUUGAAUAUAUUUGAAUUUAUAAUGAAGGAAUUCAGAAGUAAAACAGUGUGGACUUGAUCUACCAAAUGUUGUGAUCAUUCUUAAGACUCCAGAUUUCUUGGUAGUAUAAAACUUGAUUGCAACUGUUAUUGGGAAUGUAUAGACUUUGGACAGAAUCCAUAAUUUAGCAGAGUCCAGGGGAAAAAGUUCUUUGGUGAAUAUAUAAAGGCAUGAUACAAACCAACCUUCAGCUUUUAGUUUCACUCAUGGUCUAGUCAUGUCCACUGCCAGAGCUCUUCUGGGAAGCCGUAAGGAGAGUGAUUUGUUGGCCUAGCUUCUGACUUGACUUCAUUCCUCUCUGCGGGGGAUCACUUUACAUUUCCUUAAAUGCAGGGACAGCUUGUAUGUUGGCAGUUGUUUGAAUUGAGAAAUAGAUUUUAAUGAACUAGUUUCUUUUGCUCAGCUGGAGUUGAAGUAGUCAUAGACUAAAUUAACAGCUACAGUCAAGGCUAAGAUGACAGCUGUGUCCCAGAAAAGGAAAGAUACAAAGAAAUGAAAAUUGCAGCGCAAGAUGAAAAGAGCACAUGUUUUAUAGAGAGGAGUUCCACUAAGUAUUCUAUGUCAAGAACAAGACUUAGAAAUUACAUCAGUGGAAGAAGAAAGUCCUGAUGUAAGUGAAUACAUCCACCCACCAUGUCAAAAGAAGAUACUUGAACACAAGUAUCAAAACAAACUAAAUAAACUGAAGAAAUACAUCAGAAAGCAGGAGUACUCAGAAGAGAGAUUAUCUCAACUACAACAUGAAAAUGAGUUGCUCCGACAGCAACUGAAUGAUUCUCAGAACAAAGCUGAAGAUAAUAAAAAGACACUUCUUAACAUCCUAAACCUGCUUGAGGAAUCUGUAGAAGAACUUCAAACUGAAUACAAAAAGUGUUUUAUGCUAAUAGGAAAAAGUAAAGAAUUAAUCAAUGAUUGUAGUCAUCUCAAAGAAAGAAUGAAUCAAGAUGAAAAUAAGGAAAGAGAACAAGAAAUAAGCAUUUAGGAAAAUAAAUAUUUUUCAAACUUCCUGAAAGAAAAUUCAAAUUAAUAUUUGAUUAUGGAAAAAUGUUGAGUCUAGUGGAUAUAAAAAGAAUAUAGACUAUGAAUCAGCUUAAAAGCAUACUUUGUAUCCAGCAAAAAACUUAGACCUGGCAGGUGCUUAUUUUGAAGAAAGACAUUUGUGUGACUAUGAAAUUUUAAGAGGUUAAGUUAUAAAUUUUUACUGAUAGUCACAAUUUAGUCUUAUACUGCUAAAAUAAUAAUUUUAAUCUUUGUGUCAUCACAUUUUAAUACCAUGAUGAAGCAGAAAAGUGGAAAUGCUCAUACUUAAAAUGAACCUCUAGAUUCAAUUAAGUGGAUCACCUUGAAAGUGAUUCCAGAUUUCCCAGAUGAGAUGAAGGGCAAAUGCUGUAUGUCACAGUCCUUUUCCUUCAGUAGCUUUUAUACAUUUUUAGUUUGUAUAAUUUUAUUUUGAUUCAUGUCAAUUUGAAUUUGAUUUGGAAACAUUUUAGUAUAAAUCAUGUAUUCUUAUGAUCUCUAACUCUUUAAAGGCAUCUACUUUCCAGUACAUCAUAAUUUGGGACAAAUGUGCUGAAGUAUAGCAAAACAACACUUGAUUUAAUCUUCCCACUUCUAUUUAUAGUUUUCUUCAAACAUUUUUACAAAUAGUUUGCUCACAGUUCUUAUUUCAAGGAGAAAUGUGGUUGAGAGAUUACAAGACCUAGGUCUGUACAUAACAAACUUACUAGACGUAGGUGUGUCCAGUACAAAGAGAACUGUAACUGUCUGUAAUUGGAGCUCUUUUUCGG